GACGAACGCUGGCGGCGUGCCUAAUACAUGCAAGUCGAACGAGUGGCGGACGGGUGAGUAAUGUCUGGGAAACUGCCUGAUGGAGGGGGAUAACUACUGGAAACGGUAGCUAAUACCGCAUACAAUCAGAUGUGCCCAGAUGGGAUUAGCUUGUUGGUGGGGUAACGGCUCACCAAGGCGACGAUCCCUAGCUGGUCUGAGAGGAUGACCAGCCAAACUGGAACUGAGACACGGUCCAGACUCAUACGGGAGGCAGCAGUGGGGAAUAUUGAACAAUGGGCGCAAGCCUGAUGCAGCCAUGCCGCGGGUAUGAAGAAGGCCUUAGGGUUGUAAAGUACUUUCAGCGGGGAGGCGUUACCCGCAGAAGAAGCACCGGCUAACUCCGUGCCAGCAGCCGCGGUAAUAC
rnacentral:rRNA from 1 species